ACUGCCCCUAGAUGCAUUGCAGGUGUGGCUGCUGUGUCACAUGUGUACCAGUAGGUGGCAGAAAGGAAAGAUGAUAUGUCUAUGCUCAGUGUCUGACCUGAGACAACCACCAGUCCAGUGCUGUGCAAAG